CUUCUCAGGGGCCAGCAGGUACCUAGGUGGACCCCAAAGGGAGACUCCGAUCUCGGGGGAGUGGGCUCCGAGUCCCUGGGCACCGGUGAACGGAGAGCAGAGGAGAAAAGCUGGGACGACCUUCACCGCUCACUCCUCUCUGCAGCCCUGCCUGGAUUUCCGGAUAGGACCGCAGGUGUGGCCGGAUUCCAGCAAAUCAGCAUCAGAAAAUUCACUGCCUUUUGGAAGACUGAGGAGCCUGGUGAACCCCGAAGCACUAACCUUGUACUCGGAUGCCUUAGUUCACACAGUGGCCGGACUGGCGUCGGGCAAACGCUAGCCGAGGAGAGACGCGAUGGGCAGAGGCAAACAUCCAGAAAGAAGGCCAAAGCUGAGGAACCCAGAGUGCAUCGAGAAGAGAAACAUCGCCCAACCUGAACUGCUAGAAAGUGCUUCUCCUGCACUCCGGGACACAGCAAAGGCCGGCAAACCGAUGAUCUACAGAGAACAAAAAAUAGUGAGCACCUACCCCAACGUCCUUAAACAUUUUUACGGCAUUCUUCACGAGGCAGUACGUGGCACUCUCAGCUGCGAAGAAACAAGAAGGCCUUGUCAAUGUGUGGGCCCUGCAUACGCGGAGCAGCAGCUGGGGAGAGGGUUACAGCAGGACUGCAGACUGGGCAAGCUCCAUCUCCACUACUGCCAACAGCAAGGUCUCUCCCAAAUGACCUGCUGUCUCUUUGAACCUACUCUUUCAUCUAUUAUGCUUUAAAGAAAAAGACACAGAGAUUGAAGGGAAGGGAGAGAAGGGAGGGGAACUACCUGAAGUAUCUAUCCUGCAGGCCUUUUGGGAAAACAAGG